GUCCACGCCGUAAACGAUGAGUGCUAAGUGUUAGGGGGUUUCCGCCCCUUAGUGCUGCAGCUAACGCAUUAAGCACUCCGCCUGGGGAGUACGGUCGCAAGACUGAAACUCAAAGGAAUUGACGGGGGCCCGCACAAGCGGUGGAGCAUGUGGUUUAAUUCGAAGCAACGCGAAGAACCUUACCAGGUCUUGACAUCCCGCUGACCGCCAUGGAGACAUGGCCUUCCCUUCGGGGACAGCGGUGACAGGUGGUGCAUGGUU
rnacentral:rRNA from 1 species